ACGGGUGAGUAACACGUAUCCAACCUGCCGUCUACUCUUGGACAGCCUUCUGAAGGAAGAUUAAUACAAGAUGGCAUCAUGAGUCCGCAUGUUCACAUGAUUAAAGGUAUUCCGGUAGACGAUGGGGAUGCGUUCCAUUAGAUAGUAGGCGGGGUAACGGCCCACCUAGUCUUCGAUGGAUAGGGGUUCUGAGAGGAAGGUCCCCCACAUUGGGACUGAGACACGGUCCAA
rnacentral:rRNA from 1 species